rnacentral:rRNA from 1 species
GGCGAACGCUGGCGGCGUGCUUAACACAUGCAAGUCGAACGAUGAAGCCGGAGCUUGCUCUGGUGAAUUAGUGGCGAACGGGUGAGUAACACGUGAGUAACCUGCCCUUGACUCUGGGAUAACUGCGGGAAACUGUAGCUAAUACCGGAUACGACCCUCGGAGGCAUCUCCUGGGGGUGGAAAGAAUUUCGGUCAAGGAUGGACUCGCGGCCUAUCAGCUAGUUGGUGAGGUAAAGGCUCAUCAAGGCGACGACGGGUAGGCGGCGUGAGAGGGUGACCGGCCACACGGGGACUUGGACACGGCCCAGACUCCGACGGGAGGCAGCAGUGGGGAAUAUUGCACAAUGGGCGCAAGCCUGAUGCAGCAACGCCGCGUGAGGGAUGACGGCCUUCGGGUUGUAAACCUCUUUUAGCAGGGAAGAAGCGAAAGUGACGGUACCUGCAGAAAAAGCACCGGCUAACUACGUGCCAGCCGCCGCGGUAA